CUUUCAGCUCAGAUGACCUUUCAAUUAUCAGUAAAAUACGUGAAACCCCAAGGUAGACUAUAUUUCAAAACACUUUGCGACAUUCACGAACUUUGCCAUCCCGAAAUAUCUUCUCCAUCACCAAAAAUGACCCCAAGAGACCCCAAUGCUGAAGAACGGAAAUGCAGAAAAUCCUCCAAAAUC